rnacentral:rRNA from 1 species
GAUGAACGCUGGCGGCGUGCCUAAUACAUGCCAGUCGAGCGAACAGACGAGGAGCUUGCUCCUCUGACGUUAGCGGCGGACGGGUGAGUAACACGUGGAUAACCUACCUAUAAGACUGGGAUAACUUCGGGAAACCGGAGCUAAUACCGGAUAAUAUAUUGAACCGCAUGGUUCAAUAGUGAAAGACGGUUUUCCUGUCACUUAUAGAUGGAUCCGCGCCGCAUUAGCUAGUUGGUAAGGUAACGGCUUACCAAGGCGACGAUGCGUAGCCGACCUGAGAGGGUGAUCGGCCACACUGGAACUGAGACACGGUCCAGACUCCUACGGGAGGCAGCAGUAGGGAAUCUUCCGCAAUGGGCGAAAGCCUGACGGAGCAACGCCGCGUGAGUGAUGAAGGUCUUCGGAUCGUAAAACUCUGUUAUUAGGGAAGAACAAAUGUGUAAGUAACUAUGCACGUCUUGACGGUACCUAAUCAGAAAGCCACGGCUAACUACGUG